rnacentral:rRNA from 1 species
AGAGUUUGAUCCUGGCUCAGGAUGAACGCUAGCGGCAGGCUUAACACAUGCAAGUCGAACGGUAACAUAAGAGCUUGCUCUUGAUGACGAGUGGCGCACGGGUGCGUAACACGUAUGCAACCUACCCUUUACAGGAGAAUAGCCCCGAGAAAUCGGGAUUAAUACUCCAUAGUAUUAUAAAACCACAUGGUUUAAUAAUUAAAGCUUCGGCGGUAAAGGAUGGGCAUGCGGCCUAUUAGUUAGUUGGUAAGGUAACGGCUUACCAAGACUUCGAUAGGUAGGGGGUCUGAGAGGAUGAUCCCCCACACUGGUACUGAGACACGGACCAGACYYCCCUACGGGAGGCAGCAGUGAGGAAUAUUGGGCAAUGGAGGCAACUUCUGACCCAGSCCAUGCCGSSGUGCAGGAARGACGGCCCUACGGGUUGUAAACUGCUUUUAUUUGGGAAGAAACCCCCCGACGUGUCGGGGGCUGACGGUACCAAACGAAUAAGCACCGGCUAACUCCGUGCCAGCAGCCGCGGUAAUACGGAGGGUKGCAAGCGUUAUCCGGAUUUAUUGGGUUUAAAGGGUCCGUAGGCGGACCAAUAAGUCAGUGGUGAAAUCUUUCGGCUCAACCGGAAAACUGCCAUUGAUACUGUUGGUCUUGAAUAUGUUUGAAGUGGGCGGAAUAUGGCAUGUAGCGGUGAAAUGCAUAGAUAUGCCAUAGAACACCGAUAGCGAAGGCAGCUCACUAAGCCAUUAUUGACGCUAAGGGACGAAAGCGUGGGGAGCGAACAGGAUUAGAUACCCUGGUAGUCCACGCUGUAAACGAUGAUCACUCGAUAUUGGCAACACACAGCCAGUGUCCAAGAGAAAUUGAUAAGUGAUCCACCUGGGGAGUACGAUCGCAAGGUUGAAACCCAAAGGAAUUGACGGGGGCCCGCACAAGCGGU